CCUACGGGGGGCAGCAGUGGGGAAUAUUGGACAAUGGGCGAAAGCCUGAUCCAGCCAUGCCGCGUGUGUGAAGAAGGCCUUCGGGUUGUAAAGCACUUUCAGUGGGGAAGAAAGCCUUGGGGCUAAUACCCUCGAGGAAGGACAUCACCCACAGAAGAAGCACCGGCUAACUCCGUGCCAGCAGCCGCGGUAAUACGGAGGGUGCGAGCGUUAAUCGGAAUUACUGGGCGUAAAGCGCGCGUAGGCGGUCUGAUAAGCCGGUUGUGAAAGCCCCGGGCUCAACCUGGGAACGGCAUCCGGAACGGUCAGGCUAGAGUGCAGGAGAGGAAGGUAGAAUUCCCGGUGUAGCGGUGAAAUGCGUAGAGAUCGGGAGGAAUACCAGUGGCGAAGGCGGUCUUCUGGACUGACACUGACGCUGAGGUGCGAAAGCGUGGGUAGCAAACAGGAUUAGAUACCCCUGUAGUC
rnacentral:rRNA from 1 species